rnacentral:rRNA from 1 species
UACGGAGGAGGCAAGCGUUAUCCGGAAUUAUUGGGCGUAAAGCGUCCGCAGGUGGCACUUCAAGUCUGCUGUCAAAGACCGGGGCUUUAACCCCAGAAAGGCAGUGGAAACUGAAGUGCUAGAGUGCAGUAGGGGUAGAGGGAAUUCCCGGUGUAGCGGUGAAAUGCGUAGAGAUCGGGAAGAACAUCGGUGGCGAAAGCGCUCUGCUGGACUGCAACUGACACUCAGGGACGAAAGCUAGGGGAGCGAAUGGG